ACGGGAAUCCUCAUCUCAGGUUCUGCUUCUGAGGAAGUUGAUUUAGUCCAUCUGUUCUACUACCACUGAGCCACACCAGCCGGACUGAAGUGGUGUGUUUUAAAUGUUUGGAUUUUAGUUAUGAUGUAGAAGUUGUACUUCCAAACUUUUGUUUGUUUUUAUUUCUACUGAAGAUCAUAUUCUGACACCCUGUCCUCCCUCAACCCCAACCAAUCCAACAAAAGAGCCAUAAUUUUCACCAACAUACUGAACACCAGAGACAAUCAAUGACUCUCGUAAGCAAAACGAUUGCUUUCUGGACUUGUCUCCAGCUCUGGAAAUAAUUUCCAACAUGGAUCUGACUGGCAUUACGUGAACUCAUAUAAGGGCCCGCUCUCUUCAUGGCCUUCCACUGACCACUCACUUCCUCUGGUGGGCCAGCUGGACCUUGUUCUGCUCCUGGUACAGCCUCUAGAGCAAAUGUUGAGGGAACUGAGAUGGCGAUACUUUACAGAGCUGGCUGGCAGAUGUGCAAUCAAGAGAAGGUCCAAAUGGCCAUGAGCAAUUCCUUCUUAGAAGAAAUUAUUUUCAUUCUCCUCUUCUAUUCAGCAGAAACCUUUCCAGCAGGAAAUUGAGCAAUGUGAUGUAAAAGAACAACUGAGUCGCCUCUCACCAUGUUCCUGGUAACUAGAGACUUCUUGAAGCCAAGGUCCUGGUGCUCCUUGCAUGCGAGCUAAGUACAUGAGCGACAAGGUAGAUUAAAUAUUCUUCUCUUUCUGAGAAUGAUCAGGGUGUGGUGUUCUGAUCUCCAUUCCAAGGAUGAAAUGGUCCUUUCCUCUCUCACUAUAGUUGUGAAGAAGUAGAAUUCUUAACUUGACUGUUGAUUACCAUGUGCUCUGAAGGGGUUCUUCAACCCAGGCUAGUGCCUGCACUUCUGAAUCAGGUAUUAUGAGCAAGGUCAGCCAUGGUCAUCUGAGUAUGCCAGUGCAAUUAGAAGGGCAUUGGAUUUUGGAAGCUACUCUUGUAAAAUAUCUUGUGUAAAAUACUCUUGUGCUACAGAGGAAAGUCUUCAUUUUCUAAGUAAACUAACUGCAAUAACUAUCAAACUACAGCUGGUCAGCAAGCCAGCCAUCUGUAAAAAAGAAUACCAUUGACGCACAAAAGCCUUGUUAUACAUUCUUUCAAGAUAUGGAAAUUUUGAACAGACUGAGCUGUUUUUGAACCCAGGAAAGGCAAAAGACAACAUAAAGUAUAUCACCGCAUGGCUGCAUCUUUGCAAAGGAACUCAAACAGUUGGGAGAUGAAAGGAUGAGUAGGAUGGGUAACAUGUUCAUCUUGAAAUUGGAAGAAGUAGGUGGACUGAGAUACCACAUUCACAAGCGAGCGAUGGCAGUGCAGCAGAUGCCUUGUGCAACUCCACUACCCACUGCAUCUGAAUUCUGUGAAGUCUUCUGGGGUCUCUUAAUUGUCUGUAAUGGGCCAUGGAACUGAAUUUGUGAAUAUUGUUCAACUUUACUAUAAACAAGGAAAUAACAUAA